UAGCUCCAUCAAUGUUUCAAUGGUGGACAUUCAAUCCUCAUUGUUUCCUGACGUGUGACCCACUUGAGUUUUGGAUUUACCUCAUUUUUUAGCUCAUGUCCCAAAAUGAUUCAGCAAAAUGGAUGAACAGGGUGGAAUUCUCACAAACAUCAGUGUGGGCCCACUUAACUUCUGACCAUAGAAACUUCCUCACAGGGUGUCACAUGCAAUCCGCGUCCAGCAUGAAUCAACUCCCGGCCAAAAGGGUGAGGUUGCGUAUUAGGUGGUGUUGCCCUCAGAGGUGGGCUUGGGGUUUACCUCAGCCCAGAAUUUGAACUGUUAAAGGCGGGGCCGUUGACUGGGCCUAUUCAAAUUUUAGAUUUUGGUAGGCUCGAGCCCGGCCCAUUGACAACCGUAACUAAAAUGCUAGGUAAUAGCUAAUCCGCUCCCAUGCACGUUUGAGUGCACCCACAACACCCUAUUUUUUUGGGUCGUUCUUUUCUGGCCAACAAUACCUCCUUCCCUCUCUCUCUCUCUCUCUCUCUCUCUCUCUCAUUUCUUUUAUUCCGGGAUUCUUGGUCGAGCAAAACAUCUUCUUUCAGUUAGGCUAUCUGCUCGACGUGUAUAAGCCAAAGCUCGGCGAUCCUACCCGUUCAUACACUGCAACCCACUUUAGAUUGGCAAUGCUUUGGGAUUCUUCUUUGCCGGCUGCUGAUUUUAAGUUACCCACUGGUUGCAUACGAUUGGGGGGUGUAGUCAACAGUCCACACUCUAUGGGAAGAAAAUCGACUCAUUUCUCAUUUCCGGGGGCAUGACCCAUCCGUUUUGGCCCCUCCAGAUGAGCAGCCUUGAUGACAGAAGAUUCAGCCUGCCUGCUUCGUCAACCACUGUUUGUUUCCUCACUCUGUAAUCUUCUGCUGAUAUCUUGGCGAGGCCUCACUACAGGAAGAAGAAGGCAAGAGAUCCUAUGAGGGCCCCACAUUAAAACAGAUGAGUCUCUAUUUAGUUAGUUACAAGUGACUGGCUUUGAUUUCUCUGUUACACUACUAAGCUUCUUAUGAUGAUACAUUCCUUGGCUUUUGAUAUUCCAAAUGAGUGACUACUUCUUUGAAUUGUUUGGUGAAUGGCUGAUAUUGUGUGGUUUCCGUAGUGCCGAUUGGACUUUCAUGCUUUAAUGCCAUUAGUGGAUGGAAAUCAUUUUUCUACUCUCUCUCUCUCUCUCUCUCUCUCUCUCUCUAUCAGGAAAUUAUGAAAUCCCGACUCCAUGCUAAGGGGUUUUUUGACUUUAUAAAAGCCAAUUGAUCUUUAUGGCAAUUCUAUACUCGUUCUUUCAUUGGCUGAUUUCGGCUGCGUUUGGAUGCACUUCUGAAUUGAACUGAAAUAACUAGUUCAAUAGAGUGAAUUGGGCAAAUUUUGAUUAGGGGUCAUUUAUAUGCCUGUAAAUGGGGCUAAUUGUAAAUGAUUUACAGUCUGGAUUUGGAUGCUAAAAAAAUGCCUAUAAAUCAUUCUUACAAGCUGUAAAUCAUUUACAGAUUUCAGCCCCAUUUGAUUUACAGGCAAAAACCUGUGAUUACAUUUACAGGCUCUCCAUUUAUGGCCCAACAGCUAUAUUUUCAAAGAUUGGCUCUCCCUUUACAGGACUUAAACAAUUUACAGGCUAUCCAUGAGGUGGAAGGCGCUACCUUAAUAGAGGCCAGGUGCCAGGUGAGUGCUGCCACAAAGUGGGUUACAACUGACGUGGGUUGUGGAGUGUGGUGGUUUGUUACAAUCCCUAAUGAUUUAAGGGCCUAGCUUGACGUGUUCCAUUAGUUGUCAUCGGGCAUCCAAUUUCAACAAGUUGCUUUUGGGCUACUAAAUGUCAGUAACGGUUAUAUAAUACCUUUCCAAAUGAUCUGGACAGAAGACAAGAUUAGCACUUUAAUGCAAGAAAUUGUAUGGCACAUUGGUGCUUUCCUGAAAUAUAUGCAUUGGUUCUUAUUCAAUCAGUAAGAUGCUUGUUUAUAUAGAA